rnacentral:rRNA from 1 species
GACGAACGCUGGCGGCGUGCCUAAUACAUGCAAGUAGAACGCUGAAGAGAGGAGCUUGCUCUUCUUGGAUGAGUUGCGAACGGGUGAGUAACGCGUAGGUAACCUGCCUUGUAGCGGGGGAUAACUAUUGGAAACGAUAGCUAAUACCGCAUAACAAUGGAUGACACAUGUCAUUUAUUUGAAAGGGGCAAUUGCUCCACUACAAGAUGGACCUGCGUUGUAUUAGCUAGUAGGUGAGGUAAUGGCUCACCUAGGCGACGAUACAUAGCCGACCUGAGAGGGUGAUCGGCCACACUGGGACUGAGACACGGCCCAGACUCCUACGGGAGGCAGCAGUAGGGAAUCUUCGGCAAUGGGGGCAACCCUGACCGAGCAACGCCGCGUGAGUGAAGAAGGUUGUCGGAUCGUAAAGCUCUGUUGUAAGUCAAGAACGGGUGUGAGAGUGGAAAGUUCACACUGUGAGGGUAGCUUACCAGAAAGGGACGGCUAACUACGUG